rnacentral:rRNA from 1 species
UGGGAAAUAUUGGACAAUGGGGGCAACCCUGAUCCAGCCAUGCCGCGUGUGUGAAGAAGGCCUUUUGGUUGUAAAGCACUUUAAGCAGGGAGGAGAGGCUAAUGGUUAAUACCCAUUAGAUUAGACGUUACCUGCAGAAUAAGCACCGGCUAACUCUGUGCCAGCAGCCGCGGUAAUACAGAGGGUGCGAGCGUUAAUCGGAAUUACUGGGCGUAAAGCGAGUGUAGGUGGCUCAUUAAGUCACAUGUGAAAUCCCCGGGCUUAACCUGGGAACUGCAUGUGAUACUGGUGGUGCUAGAAUAUGUGAGAGGGAAGUAGAAUUCCCAGGUGUAGCGGUGAAAUGCGUAGAGAUCUGGAGGAAUACCGAUGGCGAAGGCAGCUUCCUGGCAUAAUAUUGACACUGAGAUUCGAAAGCGUGGGUAGCAAAACAGGAUUAGAUACCCUGGUAGUCCACGCCGUAAACGAUGUCUACUAGCCGUUGGGGUCCUCGAGACUUUAGUGGCGCAGUUAACGCGAUAAGUAGACCGCCUGGGGGAG